rnacentral:rRNA from 1 species
AAGCUCGUAGUUGAAUUUCGAAUGUGGCUGGGCGGUCCGCCUCACGGUGUGUACUGCCUGGCUGUGUUCUCUUUCUUGGUGAGCCGGCAUGCCCUUUACUGGGUGUGUUGGGGAACCAGGACGUUUACCUUGAGAAAAUUAGAGUGUUCAAAGCAGGCCUACGCCCGAAUACAUUAGCAUGGCAUAAUAAAAUAGGACGUGCGGUUCUAUUUUGUUGGUUUCUAGAGCCGCAGUAAUGAUUAAUAGGGAUAGUUGGG